rnacentral:rRNA from 1 species
GUGUCAGCAGCCGCGGUAAUACAGAGGGUGCGAGCGUUAAUCGGAAUUACUGGGCGUAAAGCGAGCGUAGGUGGCUUGAUAAGUCAGAUGUGAAAUCCCCGGGCUUAACCUGGGAACUGCAUCUGAUACUGUCAGGCUAGAGUAGGUGAGAGGGAGGUAGAAUUUCAGGUGUAGCGGUGAAAUGCGUAGAGAUCUGAAGGAAUACCGAUGGCGAAGGCAGCCUCCUGGCAUCAUACUGACACUGAGGUUCGAAAGCGUGGGUAGCAAACAGGAUUAGAAACC